rfam:Schistosoma mattheei strain Denwood, Zambia genome assembly, scaffold: SMTD_scaffold0013774
ACAUUGUUGAAGAGUCUCACACUAGGACGAAAUGAUCAUCUAAUAU